rnacentral:tRNA from 1 species
GUAAAGAUGGCUGAAUUUGUAGGCGGUGGGUUGUAAUUCCACUUAUGGGGUGUUAGACUUCUCUUUGCA